rnacentral:rRNA from 1 species
AGAGUUUGAUCCUGGCUCAGGAUGAACGCUAGCUACAGGCUUAACACAUGCAAGUCGAGGGGAAACGAUAUUGGAAGCUUGCUUCCGAUAGGCGUCGACCGGCGCACGGGUGAGUAACGCGUAUCCAACCUGCCCACCACUUGGGGAUAACCUUGCGAAAGUAAGACUAAUACCCAAUGAUAUCUCUAGAAGACAUCUGAAAGAGAUUAAAAGAUUUAUCGGUGAUGGAUGGGGAUGCGUCUGAUUAGCUUGUUGGCGGGGUAACGGCCACCAAGGCGACGAUCAGUAGGGGUUCUGAGNGGAAGGUCCCCCAUAUUGGAACUGAGACACGGUCCAAACUCCUACGGGAGGCA